rnacentral:rRNA from 2 species
CCAGGCCGAGUUGUAAUUUGUAAAUGGCUGCACUGCGAAUAGCUGUUGCUCAAGUUCUUUGGAACAAGACAUCAUGGAGGGUGAGAAUCCCGUGAGGCGGCUAGCUAGGAGCGUAUAGUGAGCUAUUGAAGAGUCGAGUUGUUUGGGAAUGCAGCUCAAAGUGCGUGGUGAAUACCAUGUAAAGCUAAAUAUGGACGAGAGACCGAUAGCGAACAAGUACUGUGAAGGAAAGAUGAAAAGCACUCCGAAAGGAGAGUGAAAUAGUACGUGAAAUUGUUAAAGUGGAAGGGCUUGAGAUCAGAAUUGGCAGGUUGGGUUCCACGUCCUCUCGGGGGCGUGUACUCCCGGCUUGCCGGGCCAGCAUCAGUUUUGGCAGGUGGAUAAAAGCGACGGAACGUAGCUGCUUGCCAGUGUUAUAGCCGUUGCCAAUACGCCUAGCCGGGA